rnacentral:rRNA from 1 species
UACGUAGGGGGCUAGCGUUGUCCGGAAUCAUUGGGCGUAAAGCGCGUGUAGGCGGUCCGGUAAGUCCGCUGUGAAAGUCGGGGGCUCAACCCUCGGAUGUCGGUGGAUACUGUCGGGCUUGAGUACGGAAGAGGCGAGUGGAAUUCCGAUGGUGUAGCGGUGAAAUGCGCAGAUAUCAGGAGGAACACCAAUUGCGAAGGCAGCUCGCUGGGACGUCACUGACGCUGAGACGCGAAGCGUGGGGAGCGAACG